CCAAAAUCAUUUUCCAAUAGCCCGCUAUUCCACAUUUUCUAAUUUCAUAAUGCCGCGCGAUUAAUCCCAAAAGCCCGCUAUCCAGAAAUUUCAUGUUUUCAACUUUCAUGUUUUCAUUACUUUUGAGGAUUCAAAGAAUCGGUUAUCUCAGUUUUCAAUUUCAUAGAAAGUGAUGAGCGAUAGGGCAAAAGUUAUAGAUUUCCCUCAUCACUUUCCUCUAUCUCUCUCACCAAAAUUCCAAAUUUGUGGUGACGGGCUCCCAACAAAGUGAAGCUUCCAGCCUCAUCUCACCGACCUUCUAGCCUUCUAGGUGUACAUCGUCGUCCAUUAAUUCUCCGGCACCAACACCUGUUGUUGGCUUUCACUAGUGACGUUAGAUUGAGAAUAUUCAAAACCGGCAUUUUGCAUCAAUUACACUCAUACUCUUCAAGAAAAUAUAGGGUUUUGAUUUCUCUAAUUGUCAAUCCUCGUCCAAGCUCGGUUUUUGAAGCCUGGGAAAUGCGUUAAGGUUUACCUGCCGCUGCCCUUGAUCGAUUACAUUGCUGCUGAGAAUGCUGAUAACCGAAGCCUAGUAGAUUUGAAACCAAAAUUUCUUUAUGAGUCUGCAGACAAGUCGAAGAUCUAGAAGCUCACUGAAAUCAAUAAAUCUUUAGUGCCGGUCACUAAGACUUCCUGGUAUUAUAUCAUAUAUGAGGAUGGAGCUGCCUCACUGGACUGAGAUUGUCAAGACUAGUAAACUCAAGGAACUCGCUGCAUAGGACCCUGACUAGUAUUACACCAGAGCUGUAGGUGCAAAUUUUUCCCUGGAAGCUUCAUUUGCUUGUCCACUUUAGUAAUCAACUUUGUUGAUCUAUGGUUCCUUUAUGUUUCAACUUUGCAUAUUUUUGUCAAGCGAACGUAGAUUUGUAAAAUAUGAAAAUGCCUAACCUCAAUGGUAGUCGGUUUCUUGGAUAGGUUGUUGUAGCCGGAAAAGGCUGGGAUAUCUGUCUUAUUUUUAAUGUGAUAAUUUUGUUGAUCA